AUUUCUUCGGGGACAUCUGAUCAAACUGGAACGAUAUAGAGAAAAUAAAUUAGCAUGAUCUUGUGGAAGGAUGACAUGUACAAAUAGAAAAAAAAAUACUACUUUA